AGCACUGUUGUUUAGUGGUUAAAGCAUGAGCCUAGGAGUCUAAAGGACCUGGGUUCUAAUCCCUGCUUUGCCA
rnacentral:tRNA from 1 species